ensembl:snRNA U6 U6 spliceosomal RNA
AUGCUCGCUUCAGCAGCACAUAUACUAAAAAACUGGAAUGAUACAGAGAAGAUUGGCAUGGUCCCUAUGCAAGGAUGACAUGCAAAUCUGCAAAAUGCUCCAUACUUUG